rnacentral:rRNA from 1 species
AGAGUUUGAUCCUGGCUCAGAUUGAACGCUGGCGGCAUGCCUAACACAUGCAAGUCGAACGCGAAAGCGCCUUUGGGUGUGAGUAGAGUGGCGGACGGGUGAGUAAUGUGUGGGAAUCUGUCCUGCAGUGGGGGAUAAUUUGAGGAAAUUUGGGUUAAUAUUGUAUAUGUUUUAUGGGAGAAAGGGGGCCUUUGGGCUCUCGCUGCAGGAUGAGCCCGCGUCCGAUUAGCUUGUUGGUGGGGUAAUGGUUUAUUAAGGUGAUGAUUGGUAGCUGGUCUGAGAGGAUGAUCAGCUAUAUUGGGAUUGAGAUAUGGUUUAGAUUUUUAUGGGAGGUAGUAGUGGGGAAUAUUGGAUAAUGGGCGAAGGCCUGAUCCAGCAAUGCCGCGUGUGUGAAGAAGGCCUGCGGGUUGUAAAGCACUUUCAGUGGGGAAGAAAAGUGCGAGGUUAAUAUCCUUGUGUGUUGAUGUUACCCACAGAAGAAGCACCGGCUAACUCCGUGCCAGUAGUUGUGGUAAUAUGGAGGGUGCGAGCGUUAAUCGGAAUCACUGGGCGUAAAGCGCACGUAGGCGGCUAGGUCAGUCAGAUGUGAAAGUUUUGGGUUUAAUUUGGGAAUUGUAUUUGAUAUUGCCUGGCUUGAGUAUGGUAGAGGGAGGUGGAAUUUUAGGUGUAGUGGUGAAAUGUGUAGAUAUUUGGAGGAAUAUUAGUGGUGAAGGUGGUUUUUUGGAUUAAUAUUGACGCUGAGGUGCGAAAGCGUGGGGAGUAAAUAGGAUUAGAUAUUUUGGUAGUCCACGUUGUAAACGAUGUCGACUAGCCGUUGGAUCCAUUUAAGGGUUUAGUGGCGCAGCUAAUGCGAUAAGUCGACCGCCUGGGGAGUACGGCCGCAAGGUUAAAACUCAAAGGAAUUGAUGGGGGUUUGUAUAAGCGGUGGAGCAUGUGGUUUAAUUUGAUGCAAUGUGAAGAAUUUUACCAGCCCUUGACAUCCUCGGAACUUAGCAGAGAUGUUUUGGUGCCUUCGGGAGCCGAGUGACAGGUGCUGCAUGGCUGUUGUCAGCUCGUGUUGUGAGAUGUUGGGUUAGGUUUUGUAAUGAGUGUAACCCUUGUCCUUAGUUGCCAGCAUAUAAUGGUGGGAACUUUAAGGAGACUGCCGGUGAUAAACCGGAGGAAGGUGGGGAUGACGUCAAGUCAUCAUGGCCCUUAUGGGCUGGGCUACACACGUGCUACAAUGGUCGGUAUAGAGGGUUGCGAAGCAGCGAUGUGGAGCUAAUCCUAGAAAACCGAUUGUAGUCCGGAUUGCAGUUUGUAAUUUGACUGCAUGAAGUUGGAAUUGUUAGUAAUUGUGAAUUAGAAUGUUGUGGUGAAUAUGUUCCCGGGCCUUGUAC